rnacentral:misc_RNA from 1 species
GUGAAUCAUCGAAUUUUUGAACGCAAAUUGCACUUUCUGGUAUUCCGGAAAGUAUGCCUGUUUGAGAGUCAUUUAAAUAAAAAUCGGUGUUGUUGCUGCCUUUCGUGGUGACUCUUCGGAUUGGAGUCGUCUUACCUUCGUUUAAUCUUCUUAAAAGUUUUUCAUUAUUUUCGAACGUAGUUAAAUCGUUUACUUACGUUUGAGAUAUCAAAUGCUUAUUAGGUUCGUUCAUCCUCAUGACCCACGCCUAUAAUUUUUUCAUUAGAUGA